GACGAACGCUGGCGGCGUGCCUAAUACAUGCAAGUAGAACGCACAGUUUAUACCGUAGCUUGCUACACCAUAAACUGUGAGUUGCGAACGGGUGAGUAACGCGUAGGUAACCUGCCUGGUAGCGGGGGAUAACUAUUGGAAACGAUAGCUAAUACCGCAUAAUAUUGAUUAUUGCAUGAUAAUUGAUUGAAAGAUGCUAUUGCAUCACUACCAGAUGGACCUGCGUUGUAUUAGCUAGUAGGUGAGGUAACGGCUCACCUAGGCGAGGAUACAUAGCCGACCUGAGAGGGUGAGCGGCCAAGCUGGGACGGGGAGACGACCCACAAUCCUACGGGAGGCAGCAGUAGGGAAUCCUUGGCAAUGGACGAAAGGCUGAACGAGCAACGCCGCGUGAGUGAAGAAGGUUGUCGGAUCGUAAAGCUCUGUUGUAAGAGAAGAACGGGUGGGAGAGUGGAAAGUGCACACUGUGACGGUAUCUGAACAGAAAGGGACGGCUAACUACGUG
rnacentral:rRNA from 1 species